CCUCUUCACAUUUGCAAGCGGCGGCCUAUAUGGAGAUUGCCGGUUUCGGCCGGCUAUGGCGAUAAAUUGCGGUGUGCAAUAGGCACAGCGGACCCGGGGGCAGUACCCGGCGGCUCCACCAAAAUCCCCGGGCAACCGGGGGCUCUGACGGGGCCGAACCAGGAUCGACGUGUGUUGAAAAGCACUGUUUUCGCCCGGGCUGAGUAACCCGUACUAAGGCUCAAAACUCACAAGUGCCAACGAUAACGAAGCACUCGCAAUCGCUGCGUAAUGUGACGGCCUAACGGCCUGAAUUUACAAAGCUAAAGCGCGGUUGGACCCACCGGGCAACAGAAGGGAUUCCA
rnacentral:tmRNA from 1 species